CAGCAGCCGCGGUAAUACGUAGGGGGCAAGCGUUAUCCGGAAUUAUUGGGCGUAAAGAGUGCGUAGGUGGACUACCAAGCGCGAGGUGAAAGGCAAUGGCUCAACCAUCGUUAGCCUUGCGAACUGGCAGACUUGAGUGCAAGAGAGGAAAGCGGAAUUCCUAGUGUAGCGGUGAAAUGCGCAGAUAUUAGGAGGAACACCGGCGGCGAAGGCGGCUUUCUGGAUUGUAACUGACACUGAGGCACGAAAGCGUGGGUAGCAAACAGGAUUAGAUACCCCCGUAGUCCCUGUCUCUUAUACA
rnacentral:rRNA from 1 species